CAACCUCAACUCAUAUGGGACUACCCCCUGAAUUUAAGCAUAUUAAUUAGGGGAGGAAAAGAAACUAACAAGGAUUUUCUUAGUAGCGGCGAGCGAAAAGAAAUCAGUUCAGCACUAAGUCACUUUGUCUAUAUGGCAAAUGUGAGAUGCAGUGUAUGGAACAUCAAUAUUCUAGUAUGAGAAAUUAACGAUUUAAGUCCUUCUUAAAUGAGGCCAUUUACCCAUAGAGGGUGCCAGGCCCGUAUAACGUUAAUGAUUACUAGAUGGUGUUUCCAAAGAGUCGUGUUGCUUGAUAGUGCAGCACUAAGUGGGUGGUAAACUCCAUCUAAAACUAAAUAUAACCAUGAGACCGAUAGUAAACAAGUACCGUGAGGGAAAGUUGAAAAGAACUCUGAAUAGAGAGUUAAAUAGUACGUGAAACUGCUUAGAGGUUAAGCCCGAUGAACCUGAAUAUCCGUUAUGGAAAAUUCAUCAUUAGAAUUGUAAUAUUUAAACAAUAUUAUAAUAAUAGUGUGCAUUUUUUCCAUAUAAGGACAUUGUAAUCUAUUAGCAUAUUAAUUUAUCAUAAAAUUAUGGCAUAUAGUUUAUUUCAAUUAAAAUGCUUGCGUUUUAACAUGAAAUAAAAGCUGUAAAUUUGAUAAAGUGCUGAUAGAUUUAUAUCAAUACAGUGCGUUAAUUUUUCGGAAUUAUAUAAUGGCAUGAUUAUCAUUGAUUUUUGUGUUUAUUAUAUGCACUUGUAUGAUUAACAAUGCGUAAGAUUCAGGAUACCUUCGGGUUCUUUAUAUAAUCAUGGUCGCAGGUAUGCGUGCCCUUAUCAAGUUGUAUUGCCAUAAUCGCAUGUAACCAUGCGCUCGGUCUAAUAUAGAGACGUACACUUAUACUAAUUUAAAUAGGUACACGCAUUUAUUCUCUUGGCAUAUAUGCGCAAUAAUUCACUCCCGUAUAUAUGCUAUACCUCAUACGCGUUCGUACGUUCAGUAUAUUAUUCACUAUCCUUAUGGUUGGCAUAUUUACAUAAUCGGGUACAAGUCAGAAGGAGCAGCCAUGUAUUCACAUAACACGCUCAUUUGCAAAUUUAUAUUCUGUAUUGAUUAUAGGGUCGAAAGAUCAAUAGAACCAUGCCGGAGGUGGCACCGUUACAGGGUUCCUUCUGGGGAGCCAGUGCUAAGGUAGUAAAUUUAAGCCGGGGACUAUCUCAGUAUGCCCAGAUUAUUUGCGUCCAGCUCGACAGUAUCUGUACCCUCGCUGCCGUCCGAUACUGGGCCAACUCCGCCGUUGCCUAU
rnacentral:ncRNA from 1 species